GUGGCUAUGGUGUAGUGGUAGCACAAGAGUUUGUGGAACUCUUAGCACGGGUUCAAAUCCCGUUAGUCACC
rnacentral:tRNA from 1 species